rnacentral:rRNA from 1 species
CCUAAACUUGCCGUUGUUUUUUACCAGAAUUAUACAUGCAAGCUCCGCACUCCAGUGCAAAAGCCCAUUAAUCACCUAAACAGACAACCGGAGCAGGUAUCAGGCACACCAAAAGUCAAGCCAACAACACCGAGCUUCGCCACACCCACACGGGUCAUCAGCAGUAAUUAAUAUUAAGCAAUAGGCGAUCCAAGCCUGACUUAGUCACGGUACAUUAGGGUUGGUUAAUUUCGUGCCAGCCACCGCGGUUAUACNAAAAGCCCAAAACAACGGCCUUCGGC